rnacentral:lncRNA from 1 species
CCCCGAGUGACUGAAGCGCCCGCAGGUGCCUGUGCCUGUGUAUCCCGACAAUAAACCAAAUCCUCUUACUGAUUGCAUCCUGUCUCGGUCUGGUCUUUGGAGUUGGAGGGUCCCCAUCCCAAGGGAAAGUUCUCCCUGACAGCUUUUCAGGGAGACGUCCCAGGAGGAUGCUACAGGAGUGUGCCAGCUGCCUGAUGGCUGGUGAGACUUGCUGAUCCUGGGAGCAUGAAGAUUCAGCUCUCCUGGUUCGGGUCCCUGGAGUCAUUCCUGUGACCUUGGAGGAAUAUGGAGGAUUCCCACUCAUCUUUUGUCAUCACAGAAAUUCUGGCGUUGCUGCAGUCAUUGUGUCCCGUCCCACCACGGCCUGCGUUCCGACCCUCUGUGCACUGUUGCUUGGUGGAAGCUGCUGUGGACUGGGGAACUCUGCCCUGGUUUUGCAGAUCUCAGACAUGGUCCCAUUGCCUGCUGGUUGUUCCAGAGAAGAAUGACCGAUCCUGAACUGUCCUGGGAAAGACCUUGGCAUUUUCGCUGCUAUUGUAGCAGCCAUUAACUGCUGCAGCCAUUGUGUCUGCAGUGUCUGGAGUUACCCUCCCCCAAUCUAUUGUUAGGCAAGCACAGUGGGUGAACUUUCUGGAGUAGUUGCUAACAAUUGGGAAUUCUAAAUUUUAUUACAGGAGAGGCUUGACUAGGCCCUUGGUGGUAGCAGCUGAGGAGAACCAGAGAGAUAACGAACCAGAUGAGGUGCCCACUAUUUAUCGGGAGAGGCUCAAUUUCCACAAUUUCUUAUAUUAAUGCCAUUUGGCCCCUGCUCCUUCGCCCCUGGGCUCAAGUAAGAGGAAUGAGAAGAUGAUCCAAUGUAGCUUUCCUCAGUGACGGGCAACUUCCUCUGACCCUUGACCAAUCUAGACAUGGAGCCUUGAGGUCCUAUGACAGAAAGGCUGGGGUUUGAGAGGUCGAUCCUAAGACAGAGGUGGCUACACCCCGUUUAAACGUGCGGGCCGGUCAAAUGCUCCUCUGCCCAGUUUCUCCCCCAAUAACACACACGUAUAGCCCAGAACGGUGUGUUACAGCAUAAGUUCAUUCCUAGCCAUUGGGGUGCAGUCCUAACUGCAAGAGUGGCUCACCAUGGCCGAGCUGGGCACUCUGUGAGGCAUGUCUGAUCUCUCUCAGACCACUACUUCCACCUAAUGGUUUUUUUAUAAAAGAAAAAUGGGGGAGAUGCACGGAGCCAUAUUGGAUUUGGGCCUAGCCGCUUUUUGACUGCAUGGUUCAAAGUGACUCUGGGCUGUUUGGCCACAGAGACUCACCCCUAAGAUGACUGCCAUAAGUCUUAAGAUUGCUGGACAAAGCCUCUCCCAUGAAUUUACGGCACAGGAAACAUAGGUACACAAGAUAACAUUCAAGGGAUGCCUCAGCUCCCUUAGCAGAUACCAGUUAUCUCCUCAGUCUACACCCGGUGUCUCCACCACCUGGCCUCAUCGCCUGACUUCUUUGCCUCCAGCUAUCACUGCCUAUACCCUCAUCUCCCCCUCCUUCAUGUUUCACAAAGGUCACUCCCCCUACCUGAAAGCCUUAAAAGCUGUAACGUUCAUCCCAAUAAAGGAGACCUUGACAACAGAAUCUUGCUUGGUCUCCUUCUUCUCUUGCCCCCCAUUUAGGCCCAAGGGUAGCGCCCCUUCGGGACCCUGAAUAACUGGGUCCCUGCUGUCGGGG